UUAUUAAUGAGUAAUGUUGACUGUCACGUGUCAUCAUCAUUUUAUUGGAUGUUAAUUUUCAUACACCAUUUUAACGUCCAAUAGGAUUAUGACAUGUGACAGUCAACAUUA
rfam:Glycine soja cultivar W05 scaffold1801_13, whole genome shotgun sequence.